AAAUUUCAAUAACUUAAUUGAGUGGUCAAAUGAUAUCGGAUUCAAGUGAUUUUUUGUAGGGAUGAUCUUUGAAUGAGUAUCUACAAAAUAGACGGUUUGGAUUAGUGAAAUAUAAUCCGGAGUGGGGCCUACAAGGGGUGUCCCUCAAAUAAGCUUAUUUGAGGGAUCCCUCAAUGGAAGCUCUCUGUAUAAGUAUAUAUACAUAUAUGUGUAUAUAUAUUAUACCCAUGUAUGUAUUAUAAUAUACAUAUACACACGUAUAUACACAUAUACAUUAUAUAUUUAUACUAUAUGUAUAUAUAUUAUAAUAUACAUAUAUACAUGUAUAUUAUUAUUAUAACAUACCCAUAUAUAUUAUCUAUUAUAAUAUACAUAUAUAUGUAUAUGUAUUAUACCCAUG
rnacentral:lncRNA from 1 species